rnacentral:tRNA from 1 species
GGAGAGGUGCUCGAGUGGCUGAAGAGGCACGCUUGGAAAGCGUGUAGGCCUGGCAACAGGUCUCGAGGGUUCGAAUCCCUCCCCCUCCGCCA